AAUUUCAACUCAUAAUUUGAUCUACAAGAGAACUAGUAUAUGAUUCUGAUUUUAUUCUUAUUUGUGCCUUCCACUUUGAUCCGCUAACACUUUAGACUGUGUUGAACCUUUAGGUACGUUUUCGAGAUUUACAAGUACUUUUCCAUUAUAUAAAGUACUUCGCCGUCAACGAACUAACGAAGAUUCGUACUUGUACUCCCCUCCCCUCUCCUUAUCACGUCUACAUUCUAUACUACAUUAUUACUUUAGGUGCGUCUUUGAUUUAAACACCAUUUUCUUACUCGCAAACUCUGUGACAUUUACAGUUUAUUUUAUUUUCCAUAGAUUCCAUGUGUGCUCGCUUUAUAUACAGUCCCACUCCACGACAUCUCCCAAUUCAUGUUGUAGGUGUGGUAGGUUGCUUAUGCAGAAUCGGUGACAUAGAGAGUGUUGCUUCGAAAUGGAAAAAACGAGACAUUGAGGUUCUUACUGAUUAGUAAGCCACUGGACUCAUUUUAAGUGCCUUGCGUUUGUUCUCUUCCAUGCAAUUGCCAGCAAUAUUUGCCACAAGGUUCGUGUGAUCGAUCACCAUGAAUUUUAUGAAAAGCUGGUGACAGUUUAACAAUCCUUCAAAUGCUUAUGAAAAGCUGGCGACAACUUACCAAUCUUCCAAAUGCUUGAGCGUAAAGGACUUCAUUGUCGAUAACUGAAGUUAGACGUUUACCUUUUGCGGUCAUUGUCUUGGAAGCCUUCAAAUUCUCAAUCUGUAUGCAGAGAUAAGACUUUAACUACAAUUCAGACUCAGAACUUGCAGAAUGAAAAAUAUAGUUAAAAGGUGGAAAACAAAGAAAUAAAGCUGAUUUUUUUAUGUAGAUUAACCGUCAUUCAAGAUCAUGCGUAGAGCAGGCUGCAACCAAGAAAAAAAGAAGGAAAAAUUUGCAAUAUUUGUGGGCAACUAUUAUACGACUUAAGGCUUUAUGUUUUAAGGAAGAGAGUCUUCCAUACAAUAUUUUGGACAACAUAGUUUUUGCAUUAGUAGCUCUGCUAUGUAUUUGCUGAUUUUAUGUUCUAAGCUCUCUUCUUUUUCUUCUAAGGCUCUGGUUUUGAUGAUUGUACGAACGUGCUCGAGUUGGUUUGCCUGUACUUCGAUUUUUUUUUUUUUUUUAAAGUUUUCUGCUUUAUGCUUUGAUUAAUGCAGAAUUUUGGGAUCCAAAUUUCGGCAGACUGCCUACGAGCUAUGUUAGUUUGUGUGCUACUUGGUGCUCAAUAGUAUUGAGUUGUUUGUGUAACCGACACAUGAGAUAGUUUUGGAUAAUGGACAAGAAGAAGUAUCUGAUUGGAUCAUACACAUUCUACGAAGAGGUAGGGCAAGGAAUGAGUGCCUGAAUUCAUUGCGCUCUUUGGAUCCUCUGAAUAAGAUUGUUGUUGUCAAAUCCUAGACUUUGAGCAUGAUAGUUGCGAUUUGGUAAUAUUCCUAUGUUUCAAUUUCCUUAUUUUGUAAACUGCUUUAUCUAGAAGGCUAAGUUUUUGUUAGUAAAGGGACAUACAUUUAUUUAUUUGAUAUAUGCAAGUACUAUGUAAAGCUCUAUGUGUUUGUGUACUUGGUCUGUAAUUGCAUUUAUUAUUAUCAGAAGGAGGAAAACAUAAAAAAAUUACUGUAUAAAGUUUGGUUUCACCGGUGUUGUUGUGAUGCAAGAUAUCAUGCCGUGAAAUUUGAUAUUCAACGGCACACAUAUACGACACCACGAUAGUGAAGUUCUAGCCUUGCUUUACAAUGUAACUACAUUUCAUUUGAUGAGAAUAUAAAGGAGGCACAUGAAUUAUACGUGCUGAUUUGGUAUUGAAAAUAGUUUUGGAGUGGAUGCUUGAUAUUUUCUUAUACCAGGUCACUAAGUUCCUCUUUCUAUCCAUUUAUAUUAAAUUUCCCCAAGCAGUUCAAUUUUUAUUCAUUUCUUGAUGUAUGGAUUCAAGAUAUCUUGAUGCGGACAUUUUGAUUUAAGAAAAAGGAUGAUAUGUAUCAGUAACACGUUUCACCCUUAAAUGAACAUGUCAGAGAGUUAUAUGCUACUGCUCUUUUGAAGAGGUUUUGAAUGCUUCAACUAAAAUUAGUUUUCGGCAGUGAAGUUUUCCCCUGAGUUAUGCUUUAUAGUCGUUAGCUGAAACUUGAAUUAGCUUCGGAUUUAUGUAGUUUUUUCAGAUGGAGAAGCUACAACUUUUUUCAUUCAAUCUUCUAGAAAUUUGAAGAUUGCAUACAGUGUAGUUUCUAUAUCUUUUUAAUCCAAUAAGAAAAUACUUGCUGUUGGUAUAUUUAAGUUCUUGAAGACAUGAUUUUACAGCCUAAUUGAGUUGUGCAGAUGCUUUCAUAAUGUGUUUUAUGACACAUGUUGUUAAUGCGGUGAAUACUUUUUUAAGCACAACAGUCCCUUCAUUGAAUUUAUAGAUAAAGGUGGCAGACAUUUUAAGAUGGUAAGAAGAUUUUAUAAGAAAAGAAAGAGUAGAUUUUGGAUUUAGCGGAAAAUAGGAAGACAAUAAAUAAGCGCCUACAACAAACUAGAGAAGGAAAGGUAAAAAGUAAGACGGAGCAUAUUAUAAAGGAUUCCGUUAUUGAUGUAUUUUGCAAGCCCUGGAGUCAAGUCUUUUCCGUUUUGCCUUCUUUCAAUUUUAUGCUUAUCUAUUAUAUGAAAAAGUAUUGAUCGUAAAUAUGUUACAGUUCUUCUGUUUAUACUCAGUAGUUAGUAUUAUGGGUACGGGUAUCCCCUCCAGUAAUUUAACCUCCGGUGUAUCUUCAAUGCACUUUUAUAUUGAAGUCAUGCGUGCAUUUGUUUAGGUAAAGCCAAUUCAGGACUGAUGAUAUUCUCCAUUAAUUUCCAGCGCUAACUGUGAUGAUCGUGGAGUUAAUCGUAGUGGGAGGGAAGUCAUUCGUGCCAUGAAGCCAUUAUGGAGUACUCUAACAACACCAAUAGAACUGGCGAUUUACUUAAUUCUUCAUCACUUUCAAGUGGCAGGUCAAGAGAUAUAAUGAUAACUUUCGUUUGUUCCUGCACAUAAAUGUGCAUGCUCUGAAGAACUUCCUGUUUUCUCUAUUAAGUAUUAUUCAACUUUGGAUUUUUUUUAUGUUCUUUAUCCAUACUGUUUCCCGAGGACUGAAGCUUCCAAGGUAACCCAGUAUUAUUGUGUAAUCCUUUUACUUGGGACACACUUGAAUAAAUGGGGAGGUUGAGAAUAAUAGAGUGGUAGUGAUCUUUGCUCGAUUAUAGACGUUACUUAGCAAGGGGAGUAAAAUAUUGUUUGCCAUGUAUGAAGAGGAAUGUGGAGACAGAAAAAGUGAGGAGAAUAUUGACAUGGCUUCAAUCAGGACGGUUGAUUUUACUUGUGCACGUCACUUCAAUAUGAAAGUACAUUGAGAUAUACUGGAGGUUAAAUUAUUGGGGGACACCGUACCCAUUAUGGGCACAAUAUCCGUAUUUGUCUAUGACUUGGCUUUUUUUUUUUUUCUCUCCUGGAAGCACAUUUAUCGAAUGUGAAUUUUAUCGUAGCUGAAUUUUAUUUGUCA